CUAACCUUGUGCCAUUCAGUACACUUGUUGUCUGUGGGUACCAUCCACUGAAGAUGGUAUCCCUCUCAUGUGCUGCUUUCUGAAACAUGGUGAAUCCAGAGCUGUGGAAAUCCAGAUGCACAGGCCAGUGCUUCUGAAGAGACAGAGAAGCUCGUGUUUACAUGGUGUGGAUUCUAUCUUAACGUGAAGAUACAAAGAUAUCUAUGUGCCAUUCAAGGAGAAGUAUUAACAUCCUGGAAUGUCAAAUUUA